rnacentral:rRNA from 1 species
GAUGAACGCUGGCGGCGUGCCUAAUACAUGCAAGUCGAGCGAACGGACGAGAAGCUUGCUUCUCUGAUGUUAGCGGCGGACGGGUGAGUAACACGUGGAUAACCUACCUAUAAGACUGGGAUAACUUCGGGAAACCGGAGCUAAUACCGGAUAAUAUUUUGAACCGCAUGGUUCAAAAGUGAAAGACGGUCUUGCUGUCACUUAUAGAUGGAUCCGCGCUGCAUUAGCUAGUUGGUAAGGUAACGGCUUACCAAGGCAACGAUGCAUAGCCGACCUGAGAGGGUGAUCGGCCACACUGGAACUGGGCCACGGUCCAGACUCCUACGGGAGGCAGCAGUAGGGAAUCUUCCGCAAUGGGCGGAAGCCUGACGGAGCAACGCCGCGUGAGUGAUGAAGGUCUUCGGAUCGUAAAACUCUGUUAUUAGGGAAGAACAUAUGUGUAAGUAACUGUGCACAUCUUGACGGUACCUAAUCAGAAAGCCACGGCUAACUACGUG